GCACCCGUAGCUCAGCUGGAUAGAGCGUUGCCCUCCGAAGGCAAAGGUCGUGCGUUCGAAUCGCGCCGGGUGCGCCA
rnacentral:tRNA from 4 species